UACAGGCAUGAAAAUAAGAUUUUCUGGA
rnacentral:sRNA from 1 species